rnacentral:rRNA from 1 species
UUUAUGGAGAGUUUGAUCCUGGCUCAGGAUGAACGCUGGCGGCGUGCCUAAUACAUGCAAGUCGAGCGAACAGACGAGGAGCUUGCUCCUUUGACGUUAGCG